rnacentral:rRNA from 1 species
CGUCUAGGCGGAUCGGUAAGUCGGCUGUGAAAUCCCUCGGCUCAACCGAGGAAGUGCAUCCGAUACUGUCGGUCUUGAGGACGAGAGGGGAGAGUGGAACUCCUGGUGGAGCGGUGAAAUGCGUAGAUAUCAGGAGGAACGCCGGUGGCGAAAGCGACUCUCUGGCUCGUUUCUGACGCUGAAGCGCGAAAGCUAGGGGAGCGAACAGGAUUAGAUACCCUGGUAGUCC